rnacentral:piRNA from 1 species
UCCCAAGGAUGCUCUAGUGUGCUUUGUGA